AAAAAAAAACAUGCCAUAAUCGUUCGUCGUUCGAUUGAUUUUAAUUAUUGCAUUUAGUCUUCUUUCUUUGUUUCCUCCUUUUCUUUUUCGCCUUCCUCCUCUUCGAUUUCGAUGAGCACCUGGAAGCAGGCCGAAGCGG
rnacentral:ribozyme from 17 species